rnacentral:rRNA from 1 species
AGAGUUUGAUUCUGGCUCAGAAUGAACGCUGACAGAAUGCUUAACACAUGCAAGUCUACUUGAUCCUUCGGGUGAUGGUGGCGGACGGGUGAGUAACGCGUAAAGAACUUGCCUUGCAGUUUGGGACAACGUCUGGAAACGGACGCUAAUACCGGAUAUUAUGAUUGGAUCGCAUGAUUUGAUUAUGAAAGCUAUAUGCGCUGCGAGAGAGCUUUGCGUCCCAUUAGUUAGUUGGUGAGGUAACGGCUCACCAAGACGAUGAUGGGUAGCCGGCCUGAGAGGGUGAACGGCCACAAGGGGACUGAGACACGGCCCUU